CCCUUAGAUGUUCUGGGCCGCACGCGCGCUACACUGACGGAGGCAGCGAGCGUGUCCUUCGCCGGCAGGUGCGGGCAAUCUUGCGAGUCUCCGUCGUGCUGGGGAUAGAUGGUUGCAAUUGUCGAUCUUGAACGAGGAAUUCCUAGUAAGCGCGAGUCAUCAGCUCGCGCUGAUUACGUCCCUGCCCUUUGUACACACCGCCCGUCGCUACUACAGAGUGCCCGUGUCCAAGAAACGGUCGGACCUGUGCGGCCUCUCCGGGCGACCGGAGGGCCGUUACGGGGAAGACCCUUUAUUUGACGCGGGUAGAUGAAGUAAAAGUCGUAACA
rnacentral:rRNA from 1 species